rnacentral:rRNA from 1 species
AUGACGAGCGGCGGACGGGUGAGUAAUGCUUGGGAACAUGCCUUGAGGUGGGGGACAACCAUUGGAAACGAUGGCUAAUACCGCAUAAUGUCUACGGACCAAAGGGGGCUUCGGCUCUCGCCUUUAGAUUGGCCCAAGUGGGAUUAGCUAGUUGGUGAGGUAAAGGCUCACCAAGGCGACGAUCCCUAGCUGGUUUGAGAGGAUGAUCAGCCACACUGGAACUGAGACACGGUCCAGACUCCUACGGGAGGCAGCAGUGGGGAAUAUUGCACAAUGGGCGCAAGCCUGAUGCAGCCAUGCCGCGUGUGUGAAGAAGGCCUUCGGGUUGUAAAGCACUUUCAGUCAGGAGGAAAGGUUAGUAGUUAAUACCUGCUAGCUGUGACGUUACUGACAGAAGAAGCACCGGCUAACUCCGUGCCAGCAGCCGCGGUAAAUACGGGAGGGUGCGAGCGUUUAAUCGGAAAUUACUUGGGCGUAAAAGCGUACGCCAGGCGGGUUUGUUUAAAGCGAGAUUGUGAAA